rnacentral:rRNA from 1 species
UCAAGCGUUACCCGGAAUCACUGGGUGUAAAGGGUUCGUAGGCGGAUAAAUAAGUCAGGUAUGAAAGACUGGAGCUCAACUCCAUGUUUGUGCUUGAAACUGUAUAUCUAGAAUCAGGGAGAGGUAAGCGGAAUUCUAAGUGUAGGGGGUGCAAUCCGUAGAUACUUAGAGGAACACCAAAAGCGAAGGCAGCUUACUGGAACUGUAUUGACGCUCAUGAACGAAAGCGUGGGUAGCGAAAAGGAUUAGAUACCCUUGUAGUCCACGCCCUAAACGAUGAUAACUAAGUGUUGCACAUAGGUGCAGUGCUGAAGCUAACGCGAUAAGUUAUCCACCUGAGGAGUACGGUCGCAAGAUUAAAACUCAAAGGAAUAGACGGGGACCCACACAAGCAGUGGAUCACGUGGUUUAAUUCGACAAUAAACGGGGAACCUUACCCAGACUUGACAUCUAUCGAAUCUUUUAGAGAUAAAAGAGUGCCUUUAUUGGAGCGAUAAGACAGGUGCUGCAUGGUU